rnacentral:rRNA from 1 species
GGCCCCUUCGGGGGCCGAGUAGAGUGGCGCACGGGUGAGUAACACGUAGGUAAUCUACCUCUGGGUGGGGAAUAACGACCGGAAACGGUCGCUAAUACCGCAUAAUGCAGCGGCACCACAUGGUGACAGUUGUUAAAGCGGGGGAUCGUAAGACCUCGCGCCUAGAGAUGAGCCUGCGGCGGAUUAGCUAGUUGGCAGGGUAACGGCCUACCAAGGCGACGAUCCGUAGCCGGCCUGAGAGGGCGGACGGCCACACUGGCACUGACAUACGGGCCAGACUCCUACGGGAGGCAGCAGUCGGGAAUUUUGGGCAAUGGGCGAAAGCCUGACCCAGCAACGCCGCGUGAAGGAUGAAGCUUUUCGGAGUGUAAACUUCAUAAGAAUGGGACGAAUAAGGAGGGGUUAACACCCCCUUUGAUGACGGUACCAUUUGUAAGCUCCGGCUAACUCCGUGCCAGCAGCCGCGGUAAUACGGGGGGAGCAAGCGUUGUUCGGAUUUACUGGGCGUAAAGGGCGCGUAGGCGGCGCAACAAGUCACUUGUGAAAUCUCCGGGCUUAACCCGGAGCGGCCAAGUGAUACUGUCGUGCUAGAGUGCGGAAGGGGCUACUGGAAUUCUCGGUGUAGCGGUGAAAUGCGUAGAUAUCGAGAGGAACACCUGCGGCGAAGGCGGGUAGCUGGGCCGACACUGACGCUGAGGCGCGAAAGCCAGGGGAGCGAACGGGAUUAGAUACCCCGGUAGUCCUGGCCUUAAACGAUGGAUGCUUGGUGUCCGGGGUUACAUAGUCCCC